rfam:Schistosoma mansoni strain Puerto Rico chromosome 1, complete genome
GCACUGCUGAAGAGUCCCGCAAUUGGACGAGACGGCCUUCCAGUGC